UACGAAGGGGGCUAGCGUUGUUCGGAAUCACUGGGCGUAAAGCGCGCGUAGGCGGAUUGUUAAGUCAGGGGUGAAAUCCCGAGGCUCAACCUCGGAACUGCCUUUGAUACUGGCAAUCUUGAGUCCGGGAGAGGUGAGUGGAACUCCUAGUGUAGAGGUGAAAUUCGUAGAUAUUCGCAAGAACACCAGUGGCGAAGGCGGCUCACUGGCCCGGUACUGACGCUGAGGUGCGAAAGCGUGGGGGAGCAAACAGGG
rnacentral:rRNA from 1 species